UGCCUUAUACCUAAGAGUCUUACUCUGAUGCCAGUGUCCAGACUGGUGAGAAGUCCAUAUUCAACCCCCUUGAGGCUGGCGGCUCAGAUGGGUGCAAACACUGCCUGCCAAGUUACUCCUUAGGGCUGCCCAACAUGCUCAGCUCAGCGGCUAACUCCCUUCUGCCUGCAGAGAUCAGACUGCAGAAGUGACAUCCAUGGUGGAUUUCUCUUCCUGCCCCCAGCUGUGACCUUCCCUGGUGUCAAUAUACCUGCCCCAGCCAAGUGAGGGUCUGAGCUCAACACAGCUCAUGAAUGACUUGAUGAGUGUAAAAGCUGUGUGAACUCUCAGGGAUUGUUCUAUCCUCAUCCUCCUGUGGGAGCAGCAGUGAAAGACCCCCAGGUGUUUGUGUUCAGAAGGGAGGCCCCAGGGAGGGGGCUGUGUGACUUUGACGGGGUGAAAAAGGAGGUCUGUUGUACAAAGUUUCUGCUGAGAUUGCAAAUGUCCAUAACAAGUUAUGAAAUCCUUCUGUGGCUAAGAUCCUGUGACUUCGUCAUUGUCAUCCUUGAUUCCUCCCCUGGGUCAUGAAAGGGCAGCUGACAGGUUGUGCAGAGGAAAGGCAAGGAUCAUUUUAGUGAGCCUGUUACAAGGGACAUGGCCAACAGAAGGAGCUGCCUUUGAACUUUGACACCACAGAGGAGGCAGAAGGCUGGAAGGUUUGGACUAUACUUGUUCCAAGAUCCCAAUGGGGCCAUGAGCAUGGGCCUUCAUAGGACCCUUCUUCCUGAGGGACAUUCACCACACUAGGCCAUCAGCUGCACUGCAAAUGUCCUACCUGGGGCCUGCUUCCAUGACUCUGAUUUGCCCCAGCAGAAGAAGUGCUUGAAUCUUUAUUUUAGCUUGGAUGUGAAGUCAGUCAAAGGGAUUUCCAGGAAGUGGACAUAUCUGUGAAGAAUAUCAAGAGUUUCACCAGUCCUUGAAUCUCUGGUUAUUCCUGGAGAAUAACUACAUAACAGCCAAGGCCAUGAAGUGUGCUGAAGGUCAUUGCUUGGUGAACGAAGGCCUCCAAACCAUUCUCUUUCAGUUUUUGAAAAUAUACUUUCUACAUCUGCAAUU